CGACGCUCAGCACGACCGGCCCGGUGCAUGCCGUCUUCAAUGCGGCAUCUCGGGCGUUCAACACCCCGGCGCUCA
rnacentral:tRNA from 1 species